CGAAGCAGUGAAGCAUUCCAUCAGACUUGCGUCUGGACUGAUUUCAGUAAUUUAUGGCAUGGGAAGACUUGGCUAAAUGAAUUCACUAUUCCCAUCUUGUGCUUAUUAAUUGUUCUGACCAUCAUCCAGAGGCUCGUGGUGACGCGGUUCGGGCUUAACGGCGCGACCCGUGGGAGCCGUGGGGGAGGGAGGGACUAGACGCUUUGCUUCCGGCCUCUCUGACUGAGGCGGGGAGACCAGGGCAGGCCCGGCCGGCGGCCGGGCGUGUCUACUGUGCAAGAGGAGAGGGGGUGGGUGGAAACAGCGCUGGAUUUCGAGUCCAAAUAUCUGGCUUCCCGCUCCAGCAGAACUUGACCAUGCUGAAACUCAGGCAGUCGCUUGCCAUCCCCGGGCUCCCGCUUCCUCUUGCCUAAAAUGGUCUUGGUACAUUCAACUUGCCUCCCUUUCUGCCUUGUAAUAACAACGGUUAUUAGCGUGCGAGGGUAGUUACUGCAUAAUAACAAUGGUUACCCUUCACCGGCACGUAUGUUUGCUUUCCUUACGGCCGCAAGAGGUUGAUCCUAACAUUAGCCCCAUUAGAUCCUAUUAUUGCCCCAUGAGGCAACGAAGAACCCCAAAGGUGACCUAAUGUGUCGCACCCCAAGCCCGCCUGCCAGGGUAGGACCUGUGCUGGGUGGGAGCGGGGGCAGAGGACAGAUACUCUGAGUCCCAUCGCCUCGCUUGCCUCGGCAUCACCAAGGCAACAAGCUCUCCCUUGCCGUUGCCAGGGAAACCGGCUGAACUCUCGCUUUCUCGCACCUUCACCAUGGAGACAGCCAACUGGAAAGCCGCUGCUCCUCGAGUGGGAGGGGGUGCCGCAGAGGCAGAGGCGAGAACGUGCCUCCAGACGCUCCUUGCCUGAACUCAUUCAUUUCAUGGUGUGGCUUUUAGUUCUACAACAUUCUGCCAUGAUGCCUGGGUUGCUUGCCAUAACACAAGAUACCUUUAUGGCACCUAGGAAAUUCUAAGAAGCUCCGUGCCAGAAAUGGGGACAAAGACCGAGUGGAGUAAAACCUCAGAUUGCGAGGAACUUGUGUUCCGCAAGACGAGCAAACAUUUCUAAUAAAAUUUAAGUUGAUAAACGA